rnacentral:rRNA from 1 species
UGGCGGACGGGUGAGAAACGCGUAGGCAACCUGCCCUUUGCAGAGGGAUAGCAACGGGAAACUGUUAUUAAAACCUCAUAAUACCGUAAUGUCAAAUGAUGAAACGGUCAAAGAUUUAUCGGCAAAGGAUGGGCCUGCGUCUGAUUAGUUAGUUGGUAGGGUAACGGUCUACCAAGGCAGCGAUCAGUAGCCGACCUGAGAGGGUGAUCGGCCACAUUGGAACUGAGACACGGUCCAAACUCCUACGGGAGGCAGCAGUGGGGGAUAUUGGGCAAUGGGGGCAACCCUGACCCAGCGACGCCGCGUGGGUGAAGAAAUCCUUCGGGAUGUAAAGCCCUGUUGUAUGGGAAGAGCAGAAGACGGUACCAUACGAGGAAGCCCCGGCAAACUACGUGCCAGCAGCCGCGGUAAUA